rnacentral:rRNA from 1 species
GACGAACGCUGGCGGCGUGCUUAACACAUGCAAGUCGAACGGAAAGGCCCUGCUUUUGUGGGGUGCUCGAGUGGCGAAAGGGUGAGUAACACGUGAGUAACCUUCCCUUGACUUUGGGAUAACUUCAGGAAACUGGGGCUAAUACCGGAUAGGAGCUCCUGCUGCAUGGUGGGGGUUGGAAAGUUUCGGCGGUUGGGGAUGGACUCGCGGCUUAUCAGCUUGUUGGUGGGGUAGUGGCUUACCAAGGCUUUGACGGGUAGCCGGCCUGAGAGGGUGACCGGCCACAUUGGGACUGAGAUACGGCCCAGACUCCUACGGGAGGCAGCAGGGGGGAAUAUUGCACAAUGGGCGGAAGCCUGAUGCAGCAACGCCGCGUGCGGGAUGACGGCCUUCGGGUUGUAAACCGCUUUCGCCUGUGACGAAGCGUGAGUGACGGUAAUGGGUAAAGAAGCACCGGCUAACUACGUG